UACGUAGGUGACGAGCGUUAUCCGGAAUUAUUGGGCGUAAAGCGCCCGCAGGCGGCUGUUCAAGUCUGACGUGAAAUCGCUCGGCUUAACUGGGCGGGGUCGUUGGAAACUGAAUAGCUUGAGGCAAGGAGAGGGGCGUGGAAUUCCCGGUGUAGUGGUGGAAUGCGUAGAUAUCGUGAGGAACACCAGAGGCGAAGGCGGUUACCUGGACAGUUACUGACGCUC
rnacentral:rRNA from 1 species